rnacentral:rRNA from 2 species
ACGUGCGAUCAUACCAGCACUAAUGCACCGGAUCCCAUCAGAACUCCGCAGUCAAGCGUGCUUGGGCGAGAGGAGUACUAGGAUGGGUGACCUCCUGGGAAGUCCUCGUGUUGCACCUC